AUGUUUUGGUUUUGUUCUUUUUCCUGCAGAGAGGGGGAAAAGCAGUGCGUCAGAGGAAAGCAGUGCAAGCAGACAAGCAAAGCGUCUGGCAGAAAAGGUCGAGGAGAUGAAACGCAAACAGGACGACGCAGAGUACUGGGAACGGAUCAAAAGAUCAAACAAACGACCCCGGCAUACUUAGUAAUGAUUGAAAUCAAGGAGAGAUUAAUUGAAAGGAGCUUCGAUAAGUUUGAAUCGGGAAGACAGGAAGGAAGGAAGACAGGAAAGUUCUUUGUGAGUAUUGUCCUAGUCUUAGUUGGUUCCUACCUGUUUGUCUUGCUUGACCCUGGCUGUUAACAGAUCUGGAAAAAAUAAGAUUUUAUCUAUGAUGCCCAACUAUCUAUGAGCUUUGACCCUAAAUCAUGCGCUUAUAAAUUAGAUUACUUAGCUAAACUAUUCGCAAUUCUUUACAAACUGAUACUAACAGCCCUUGGGCUGAAUGCAACUGAUAGAUAUCGAUACCAUAAAUUUUACCCAGAGGGUACAGCAUUGUUUCGGAACAUUAGCUUCUGAAACAUGCAGAAAAUUUGCUUAUGGUCAGUACGUCUCUUUUCCACUGAUACUUUUAAGUCUGUAAUUAGUGUUCCAUUACAUUGAGACAGAGUUUUUCUGAUUGGUAAACUGAUACAUUUUCCACGGCUUACUAUUGACUCUUCUUGAGAAAAAAUUAGAUGAAAGUAUUUCUGGCACCACCGGCUUAAACCUGAUUCUGCAAUGUAAAAGAAAGAAGCAAUAUAGCGACCUCAAAUUAGUUAGUCAGUGGUUCUAUUGGUGUAAAUUCAGGUAUUUCAAAAUAGGGCAGUGAUACUCAUUCUUUUUUGGCUGCAGAAAAUUUCUCCACCAUGCUAAGAGGCUGCGAAGUGCGAACUACAAAACUUGGUCUCUUAGCUCCAAAAAUUGAUUAAUUAAGCUGUAACUCGGGACUUUGGUACAUUAGGAUGCAAGGAAUCCGUUUCUGCCGUUUCCGGAAAAAGGGCACAUACGCGUAUGUGCCCGUUUUCCGGAAUGCUCCUCAAUUAUUACCUUUCGCAGACUUCAUUUUUUGCAUUUUCAUCCAUAUUACCUUCAGGUUUAUUUGAUAACAAAACUUGUGUCAACGCUUCAAUUAAAAUGAGGAGAAUAAUUCUAAACUGAAAUCAGUUAAAGGUUUUUUUUCUUUGGUGAAUAUCAGUAAUCAUGAUUUGUGCAGAUACGUUGAGUUCUUAGGCACUGACGAAAUGUGCUUGAAACUUUUAUCAAGGAAAAACAAAGUCACUCAUCAGAAUGUGUGAAUAAACUAACAGAUACAAGGCAGCAGAAUUUUUCUUAUCUUCUUGAGUAUUUUUCCUGAUUAGACCAAAGUGCUAAUGGUGCUGUUUGCUACUUGCUUAUUUGAUGAUUUUAAAAGUUUUUAAAUAAGUUGUUCGAACCGCCAAUUUUUUUUUGCACUCAAGGUACUAGGAAGUAAUGAAUUUUUUUUAAAAAGAAAUUUGACUGUGCAUACAUUUACACCAGAAAGAAUGAUGCCCAUUUGACAAAGAGGUUCAAUGUUGGCUGAAUUAUGCUCUUCUUCUAGUUCAUGUUUUCAUAACCCUCUGAACGUAUGAGGUUCUUAAACGAGAACUUUCUCUUUGCCAUUUUCAAAAAAAUUGAGGCUGAAAGGUGAAUUUUUUUUGCUUGUGUACACUAUUGAAAGUGUAGUAUUUCCACGGUGUUGGAGUUUUCACCUUUGUUCACAAAAUGAGCCAACCAUAUGGACUGGUCUGGUAUCAUUCGGGAGAGUUUUUAUUCUUUUUAAUUUUCAUUCAAUUUAUUUUAAUUGUUGGGCUAGUUCCACCAGCCUCUGAGAGAGUGCAGGAAUAUUCAGACACACAUCAUUUCUUUUCUUAUAACAGCAAAGAAAAUAGAGCCCUCCUUUUUCACCAACUUGCCAAUACUACAUUUUAUGAACUAGAAAACCCAAUUUUAGCUCCAACUUUCUUGAAAUUUGAUGAGAGGAAGUUCUGGUUUUGUGCCUAUUAUACUACGGAAGUCAUAAAGAGCUUCUAUAAAAAAAUACGAGGUUGACCGCCUCUGAAUUUGUGAGAUGAAUUGAUGGUGAAACUGCAGGAAUGCGCACGAGAUCGAGGAAACGAGAUCGCUUGCUGUGUUUCAAAACCUUUGCUCCUGUUGAAUCUUGCUUGCUGUGUUUCAAAACCUUUGCUCCUGUUGAAUCUCAUUGAAGAAGGACAAACCAACGCUAUUGCUAUUGCUUGACAUUUUCACAGAGUUCUCUUCAUGCAGAGAUGAAAAAUCAGGGAAGUUUUUAUGGAAUGAGAUUGAGCAGUUUUCAAUUUAAAAAAUAAAGGUGGAUAGAAAGUCAGCAGUGUUGCAAACCAAGAUAUGCAUUCCUGCAGUUUCACCAUCAAUCUGUCAUCUUCAGUGAAAAAAGAACCUGACAAUGCUUGAUAAGCUUCCGUCGAAGCGUGCAUAAAUCAUGAUAAAGCAGCUCACUUAAAAAUGGCACACGCAACAAAGUAAUACAUGAGACAGUUUGAAAAUUGUUGCUGAUGUUUUUUUCCUUCAAUUAAAUGUGAUUAUGUAUGUAACAACGAACAGACGCCACGGCUUGCUCUUGCUAAUUCUAUAUGCUGUAGACAUUUUUCCAAGGAAAUCUGCAAUCUUAUGUGAGGGAUUUUUUAAGCUUUCUGGUCAGUUAAAUCACCAACUGACGAUAAAAUUUCUCUUUUCACAAAUCCUGAAUGCAAGCUGAUUUGGUUCUAUCUCAAAUUUUCAUUAAAAAAGCUCAGUCUUUUCUGCAUGUUUCUGCUCAAGAUUGGGUGGAUAAUGCAAGAGCUGGUCCAAUUUAGUAGGAUAGGAGUGAUUAUUUGGUCGGUUCCAAAUCCUUCAACCAUUACCGAUACAGUGUUCUUUAUUUAAGACCAAUCUAUGUACCGCACAGAAAUUCUACUUGUAUGUAAAGGACUAUGCUUAAGCUGAAGGACUAACGUGCUAUGAGAAAAUUCUGAGGUAACAGGCGAUAGACAAGUAUUUUAAUGAUUGCAGAUUUUGGAGCGUGAAAUGGAAAGACCCUCUAUCGCAUGAAUCAACUUCGGAUUUCAGAUUCUUGGGAUCAAAAAAUCUAUGCUGUAGCUUUUGUAAAAACAGUGAGUCCCCAAUUUUUCCCUUAAAAUUUCGAAAUUUUGGUAAUCGUAUUUUCAAAACAAAAAGAAAACAUUCAUAAAAAUUUGCAACAUCAUGCCUCUGAGAAAUAAUUCAGUUUUCAAAAAAACCAAAACAUGCAUUGCUUUGAAUAAGUAAUACUAUACCAUGGAGGGUUAACUCAAAAGAGCCUAACUACAUCAGACGUAAGGCAAUUGUUUCGGAUGAUUCAUAUUUCUAACAGAAAGCUAAACAACCCUGAAACUUCAAGAUUUCUCUAGAUUAACCUUAUUGUUAGUUUUUUCACCUUAAUUACAUCCGCAAGCUUACUAGUGCAAAUGUUUACUUCACUGAGUGAUAAAUUGAAGAUGGAAAAGUCCAUGGUGUACACUCCCUCUGUGUUAACGUCCCUUUCAUACCAUUUUUGGAAAAGUGAUAUCUAUGUUUAUUUUGUAUGUACAACUUAGCGUUUGGACCAAACUUAUCAAUUUUUAGUGUCACAGCCUCACGUAACAGAGUGAUUCUACAACUGAAUUAGAAAAAUAAAUUUGUGAUAAAACCAGCUAUUUUGAUCGAAGUUCUGAAUGUAUCAAUUAGGUUCUGUUUCUUUUCUGACAGGACUGUAAACUAUUGCUAAUUUUUCGAUGAAAAAUAUCGGUACAUAGUAGCUCACAUUUUCUCAGAAAUCCUUUAAUUUUAUACCUCAAUAAUUCUAAAAAUGCAGCUUUCAAAAAUGAUCAAAUAAAUAAGUCAAUAAAAAUUAUUACAUUCUAUGCAAUUAUUCUCUUCCUUUCAAAUCUCUCCUCCCCUUCAGAAAAAAAUCAGAUUCAUAAGUCAACAGAGGGUUCACCAAUUAUGAAAAAUUCAACUACAGUGGACUACCAAACUGAGUAAGAAUUACAGCAUCAUUAAAUAUUUUUUCUAUCUGUAUUCCAUACACAACACGUUAAAAAGGCCUUACAAAAAAGUAGAGAAAAUUAUAGCCUCCUUUUAAGGCGUCAAUUUGACGAUUGAAUCAAGGCCUAAAUGGAGGCUAACACAUAAAUUCAAAAACCAUUUCUCCACUCACUUUGAAAUUUGUACCUAAGUUUUGAGUCAUGAUUAGCUGCCAUUUAAAUAUUGGUUCAAUAGUCGAAUGAACUGCUCAAAAACAGGUCAACUCUGGCAAGGUUCAUUCCAAAAUGGAAAAUAUAGCAGCAGCUCCUCUAUUUCCAUUACAGGUAGGAAAAAGUUACGUUUGGACUGCAUUUACCAGAAAGGAACCAAGACUCAUCAGCUAUUGCCAAAUUUAGCUGGGCAAUUUAAUUUUUUACAAGAGAAAAUUUGUGCAGAUUUCUUGAAAAUUUCAAGGAAUUUGCUUCGUACUAUGCAGAAAUUCCACUGAAAGCACCAAAUCAGCAUGACCGUUUUCAUGUAAAAAAUUAAUUUGCGCAGUUACAUUCGGCAAUAUUUUAUGUGGAUUGGUUCCUUUCUGCUAAACGCGGUCCAUUUGAUCAGGAGAAAAAAGGCCUCAAUGCAGAUGAAUGUUUGUUCCAUAAUUAGGUUUAGGUUAAAUACCAUUAUCGUGGGAAAAAAAUUAUUUUCAAUAAACUGUAUUAGUCAUGUACACACUAUAUCAAAAUUUUUGAGAAAGAAAGAUGAGUAAUUAAAAUUAAAAUGUAGUUUGAGAAGACCUGUC
rnacentral:lncRNA from 1 species